rnacentral:lncRNA from 1 species
UAAUGUAUCUCGAAUGCUUAACAUGUUAGUUCAAGCAUAACAUAAUCACACUCAUCACAAUAUGGAUUCAUAUGUCAAGUUGAUUUCACUUCAAGAUUUAUAAUAAAACCAUUAUCACAUCCAUACAUAGAACUUUAGCCAUAUUCACAUGGCCUUAUAUAUAUAUACAAUACUAUCAAAAUAGCAACCUCCCAAAAUAUUAUUCUAUACAUGCCAUAAUGUCUAUUUGAGUUUUAAA